rnacentral:lncRNA from 1 species
GAGGCCCCGCGACAAAUCCUCCGCCCGACGGCAUCUUCGCCGCCCCAUCCCCUCCCGAGCUUCCAUCCCCCCUCCCUCCCCUCACACAAAACUGCCCCCUUCUCCCUCCCUCUUCUUUACCACUGCCGACCAGCCCACCAUCCCGCCACCAUUCCCACCACCGCCCCACCGCGCGCUCGCUGCCGCCGCGGCGCUUGCUAGGUAGUAGCCGGCCGCGCGCCAUGGCCUCCGUGGCGGCCACCUCCACGCUGGCCCCGGCCCUCGCCGCCCGCCGGCGCCGGGCGCGGCCUGGGGCGUCGCCGCUACCGCUGCCGCCGCGCCGGGCCGCCGUCGUGCGGUGCUCGCUCGACAGCAACGUCUCCGACAUGGGCGUCAACGGUGAGUUAGCGUUGCCCUGCUCGCGCUUCUCUUCUGGGGGCGGUGUCAGCUGGAAGUGGGUUCAUAGACUGUUAAAUGUUUUGUUAAUCCUCUCUGGGAUUUCCACACUGUAGUUCCAAUACUCCCUUAGGCCAUAAAAAGUUUGCCUUUUGGGCUGGAAUCAAACCUGGAGCUCCAAAUUGGCUAUCUAUAUGUGUGGAAAUCGGUAUCAUGUUGAUUUUGGUUCAGAGGUUCAUUCAUGGUACUGUGAUUUUUCCUAUGCUCUAGGAAUAUCUUAUAAUUGGAAAUGCCUCUCAUAGUUGUGUUUUAGAGACCCUGCCGGUGUUCUCUUUUCUGACCAAAAGUGUAGAAUUCUGGGUAGAUUGCUCCAAUUUUUCUGAAUUUGUGCUGUCAGUUCUGUUUCAGUUUCAAUAGCUUUGGGCUGAAAUGCCAGGUUGACUUGGAAAUUCUAAAUGAGGAUCUUUUACAUGUGUGGCAGCUCCCAAAGGGCUGUUCCCACCUGAGCCGGAGCACUACAGGGGGCCAAAGCUCAAGGUGGCCAUCAUUGGGGCAGGCCUUGCCG